rnacentral:rRNA from 1 species
UACAGAGACUGCAAGCGUUAUUCGGAUUCACUGGGCGUAAAGGGUGCGCAGGCGGCCGUGUGUGUGAGGCGUGGAAGCCCGGAGCUCAACUCCGGAAUUGCACCUCAAACUACACGGCUAGAGCAUUGGAGAGGGUAGCGGAAUUCACGGUGUAGCAGUGAAAUGCGUAGAUAUCGUGAGGAACACCAGAGGCGAAGGCGGCUACCUGGACAAUUGCUGACGCUCAGGCACGAAAGCGUGGGGAGCAAAAGGG